rnacentral:rRNA from 1 species
AUGGGAGCUGUGAGAUCAGUUUUCCUUCGGGACCCAUAUAGAGGUGCUGCAUGGCUGUCGUCCGCUCGUGUCGUGAGAUGUUGGGUUAAGUCCCGCAACGAGCGCAACCCUCGCCUCCUGUUGCCAACAGAUAAUGCUGGGCACUCUGGAGAGACUGCCGGUGACAAACCGGAGGAAGGUGGGGAUGACGUCAAGUCCUCAUGGCCUUUAUGCCCCGGGCUACACACGUGCUACAAUGGUCGGUACAAAGGGUUGCAAUACCGUGAGGUGGAGCUAAUCCCAAAAAACCGAUCCCAGUUCGGAUUGGAGUCUGCAACUCGACUCCAUGAAGCUGGAAUCGCUAGUAAUCGCGGAUCAGAAUGCCGCGGUGAAUACGUUCCCGGGCCUUGUACACACCGCCCGUCACAUCACGAAAGCCGGCUGUACUAGAAGUCGCUGCGCUAACCCGCAAGGGGGGCAGGCGCCCACGGUAUGGUCGGUGAUUGGGGUGAA